rfam:Catabacter hongkongensis strain HKT16 2806ref_2ab_c7, whole genome shotgun sequence.
AUAAAUCUUCGGGGCAGGGUGUAAAUCCCUACCGGCAGUAUAGCCUGCGAACUCUUGAAAAAGAGCCGAUACGGUGUGAUUCCGUAGCCGACAGUUAUAGUCUGGAUGAGAGAAGAAUAAU